rnacentral:rRNA from 1 species
UGGGGAAUUUUGCGCAAUGGGCGAAAGCCUGACGCAGCCAUGCCGGGUGAAUGAUGAAGGUCUUAGGAUUGUAAAAUUCUUUCACCGGGGACGAUAAUGACGGUACCCGGAGAAGAAGGCCCGGCUAACUUCGUGCCAGCAGCCGCGGUAAUACGAAGGGGGCUAGCGUCGCUCGGAAUUACUGGGCGUAAAGGGAGCGUAGGCGGUAUGUUAAGUCAGGGGUGAAAUCCCCGGGCUCAACCUCGGAAUUGCCUUUGAUACUGGGUGUCUGGAGUGUGAGAGAGGAAAGUGAAAUUCCGGGUGUAGAGGUGAAAUUCGUAGAUAUUCGGAGGAACACCAGUGGCGAAGGCGACAUCCUGGCACAUUACUGACGCUGAGGCGCGAAAGCGUGGGGAGCAAACA